ACGAACGCUGGCGGCGUGCUUAACACAUGCAAGUCGAACGGAAAGGCCCUGCUUUUGUGGGGUGCUCGAGUGGCGAACGGGGGAGUAACACGUGAGUAACCUGCCCUUGACUUUGGGAUAACUUCAGGAAACUGGGGCUAAUACCGGAUAGGAGCUCCUGCUGCAUGGUGGGGGUUGGAAAGUUUCGGCGGUUGGGGAUGGACUCGCGGCUUAUCAGCUUGUUGGUGGGGUAGUGGCUUACCAAGGCUUUGCCGGGUAGCCGGCCUGAGAGGGUGACCGGCCACAUUGGGACUGAGAUACGGCCCAGACUCCUACGGGAGGCAGCAGUGGGGAAUAUUGCACAAUGGGCGGAAGCCUGAUGCAGCAACGCCGCGUGCGGGAUGACGGCCUUCGGGUUGUAAACCGCUUUCGCCUGUGACGAAGCGUGAGUGACGGUAAUGGGUAAAGAAGCACCGGCUAACUACGUG
rnacentral:rRNA from 1 species